CGUUUCUCUCAUCCGGAUGCCCGCGUGAAGCUAUCUUUCCUUGCUAGCUAUACCAUGCACCCCCGCCUUAAAAAGGGCAGCUCCAGCUCGCACACCUUCUUCACGCACGCACGCACAACCUAGAUUAGAAGGCUAGAACUCCAGUUCGCCAUGCAGCUGCACCCGCGCGGCGGCUGCUGGGCCGCUCGACGCCUCCUGGCCGCGCCGGC
rnacentral:lncRNA from 1 species